CGACUUGCUGACGUGGAAGGAAAU
rnacentral:miRNA from 1 species